UAUAGGGGGAUGUUAAUCAUAAUUGAGUGUCACUUAAAUAUGUAAAUUAAUCUCUGUUGUUUUGUUUUUUGUAGCUCUUGGAAAAAGAUCCAGAUUAUCGCCUCGGAUCUGGUGAGGCUGGUGCUGAAGUGAUCAAAGCGCAGCCCUUCUUCAGAGAUAUUGACUGGGAACAACUAUUACAUAGAAAAACAAAGCCUCCAUAUGUGUUCAACAACCAAGGCCAUCUGAAGAGCUUCAAUAGCCCUGAAUGCCAAGCUCCAGCAUUGACAACACCUGCUGUAAAGAUCCCAUCAGAGCUGCAAGAAGCAUUUAGAGAAUUCGAUUAUACACCUGACUGAACUUCAAAUAAUGAUGAGAGAUGGAGCAGCAACAGUCAAAGGGAAUCUUAUUUAGAGAGGAAUAUCAUGGAUCAUAUUUCAUACUUAACGUGCUUGUUGAAUUCAC